rnacentral:rRNA from 1 species
GAUGAACGCUGGCGGCGUGCCUAAUACAUGCAAGUCGAGCGAACGGACGAGAAGCUUGCUUCUCUGAUGUUAGCGGCGGACGGGUGAGUAACACGUGGAUAACCUACCUAUAAGACUGGGAUAACUUCGGGAAACCGGAGCUAAUACCGGAUGAUAUUUUGAACCGCAUGGUUCAAAAGUGAAAGACGGUCUUGCUGUCACUUAUAGAUGGAUCCGCGCUGCAUUAGCUAGUUGGUAAGGUAACGGCUUACCAAGGCAACGAUGCAUAGCCGACCUGAGAGGGUGAUCGGCCACACUGGAACUGAGACACGGUCCAGACUCCUACGGGAGGCAGCAGGAGGGAAUCUUCCGCAAUGGGCGAAAGCCUGACGGAGCAACGCCGCGUGAGUGAUGAAGGUCUUCGGAUCGUAAAACUCUGUUAUUAGGGAAGAACAUAUGUUGAAGUAACUGUGCACAUCUUGACGGUACCUAAUCAGAAAGCCACGGCUAACUACGUG